rnacentral:rRNA from 1 species
GAGUAAUGUCUGGGAAACUGCCUGAUGGAGGGGGAUAACUACUGGAAACGGUAGCUAAUACCGCAUAACGUCGCAAGACCAAAGAGGGGGACCUUCGGGCCUCUUGCCAUCGGAUGUGCCCAGAUGGGAUUAGCUUGUUGGUGGGGUAACGGCUCACCAAGGCGACGAUCCCUAGCUGGUCUGAGAGGAUGACCAGCCACACUGGAACUGAGACACGGUCCAGACUCCUACGGGAGGCAGCAGUGGGGAAUAUUGCACAAUGGGCGCAAGCCUGAUGCAGCCAUGCCGCGUGUAUGAAGAAGGCCUUCGGGUUGUAAAGUACUUUCAGCGGGGAGGAAGGGAGUAAAGUUAAUACCUUU